rnacentral:lncRNA from 1 species
CCAACUAACGAACUUUUGGUAAAACAGCAUUGCCCAUGAAAGCAUGAGCAUGUUUACGACAAGAAAAUCACAACGAUCCCACAAUGUAAUCUUAGGACAGAGGUUGCGUCAUUAUCUAUUAGAGUUGCCCUUUUCCUUUUCGUUUUGCAUCUUCAAACGGACCACCAGCAAGAAAGUUUGGAAUCCUAAGAAUAUGGAUAUUGUUUCAUAUCCAAAUUUGCUGACAUCAAUCAAGGACUUCUUUAAUGGUCACUUCUACACCUGAUAGGGUUGGGACUUCAGUAUUCGAUUCUACCC